rnacentral:rRNA from 1 species
CUACGGGCCGCAGCAGUGAGGAAUUUUGCGCAAUGGGGGAAACCCUGACGCAGCAACGCCGCGUGAGCGAAGAAGGCCUUCGGGUCGUAAAGCUCUGUCAAGUGGGAAAAAAAUCUUUUGAUCAAUAGUCAAAGGACUUGAUGGUACCACUGGAGGAAGCACCGGCUAACUCCGUGCCAGCAGCCGCGGUAAUACGGAGGGUGCAAGCGUUGUUCGGAUUUACUGGGCGUAAAGAGCGUGUAGGCGGUUUAGCAAGUCAGAUGUGAAAGCCCUGGGCUCAACCCGGGAAGUGCAUUUGAAACUGCUUCACUAGAGUAUGGGAGAGGAGAGUGGAAUUCCUGGUGUAGAGGUGAAAUUCGUAGAUAUCAGGAGGAACACCCGUGGCGAAGGCGAUUCUCUGGACCAAUACUGACGCUGAGACGCGAAAGCGUGGGGAGCAAACAGGAUUAGAUACCCUUGUAGUC